GGAGGGCCACCGGAAUAAGCCCAUCCCAUGAGGCGCAGGUGAGCAAGAAUUAAUGAGAGGCGUGAACAGGAAAGGAAGUCUGUAAUAGCGAGAAUGUGCCGUUUUAAAAGGAGGUUUUGCAUCGCACUGUUACUACCUGCAUCCUGCAGUGCAACCAGCGGCCGAAGCAGGAAUGAGGAACCUGCGACCUUCCAUCAACUCCAAUUCCCAUCAACCUCAGCCGGCAGAAGCCCAUGAUCAGGUUCUCCCCAGCGUCCUGGAUCACCAACUGCUCCUGGUGUUCCACCAUGGCCCUUUAAAAAAAUGCAAAGGCCCCAUUAAAAUAACGCAACUUGUUUCAGG